rnacentral:rRNA from 1 species
ACCUGGUUGAUUCUGCCAGUAGUCAUAUGCUUGUCUUAAAGAUUAAGCCAUGCAUGUCUAAGUAUAAGCAAUUAUACAGCGAAACUGCGAAUGGCUCAUUAAAUCAGUUAUCGUUUAUUUGAUAGUACCUUACUACAUGGAUAACCGUGGUAAUUCUAGAGCUAAUACAUGCUGAAAACCCCGACUUCGGAAGGGGUGUAUUUAUUAGAUUAAAAACCAAUGCCCUUCGGGGCUCACUGGUGAUUCAUGAUAACUUCUCGAAUCGCACGGCCUUGCGCCGGCGAUGGUUCAUUCAAAUUUCUGCCCUAUCAACUUUCGACGGCUGGGUCUUGGCCAGCCGUGGUGACAACGGGUAACGGAGGGUUAGGGCUCGACCCCGGAGAAAACGCCUGAGAAACGGCGUUUACAUCCAAGGAAGGCAGCAGGCGCGCAAAUUACCCAAUGCCGACACGGCGAGGUAGUGACGAGAAAUACUGAUACAGGGCUCUUUUGGGUCUUGUAAUUGGAAUGAGUACAAUUUAAAUCUCUUAACGAGGAACAAUUGGAGGGCAAGUCUGGUGAACGUUCCAGUUCCGAUGCUGGUGCCAGAGAUAGCGGUUAAAUAGCCCACGCUAGUCGAGCAUCCGCCAUCAGCGGGAGGAUGCCGGCGAGACAACCUGGAUCGGGGGACGCUAAGGUGCCGAAGGGCGCUAUGCCAAUCCCGAGCGGAGUCCACUGACGGACCCGUGUAGAGCGCGCAAAGGUGUCGGUCCGGCUCGGUCGAGCUGGGCUUAAGGUACGUGCCGAUCCCCCGCGAAAGCGGGGCCGCGUCCAAGAGUGCCCGCUGCACGAAUGGACGUGGUGUCGAGGCUAGGGGGCCCCCCCGCCCCCCUAACCUCGCAAGUAAUACAGCCUAAAAAUGGCCAGCAGCCGCGGUAAUUCCAGCUCCAAUAGCGUAUAUUAAAGUUGUUGCAGUUAAAAAGCUCGUAGUUGAACCUUGGGCCUGGCUGGCCGGUCCGCCUCACCGCGUGCACUGGUCCGGCCGGGCCUUUCCCUCUGGGGAGCCCCAUGCCCUUUACUGGGCGUGGCGGGGAACCAGGACUUUUACUUUGAAAAAAUUAGAGUGUUCAAAGCAGGCCUAUGCUCGAAUACAUUAGCAUGGAAUAAUAGAAUAGGACGUGUGGUUCUAUUUUGUUGGUUUCUAGGACCGCCGUAAUGAUUAAUAGGGACAGUCGGGGGCGUCAGUAUUCAAUUGUCAGAGGUGAAAUUCUUGGAUUUAUUGAAGACUAACUACUGCGAAAGCAUUCGUCAAGGAUGUUUUCAUUAAUCAGGAACGAAAGUUAGGGGAUCGAAAACGAUCAGAUACCGUUGUAGUCUUAACCAUAAACUAUGCCGACCAGGGAUCGGGCGGUGUUAUUAUUUGACCCGCUCGGCACCUUACACGAAAGUACAAGUUUCUGGGUUCUGGGGGGAGUAUGGUCGCAAGGCUGAAACUUAAAGAAAUUGACGGAAGGGCACCACCAGGGGUGGAGCCUGCGGCUUAAUUUGACUCAACACGGGGAAACUCACCAGGUUGAUUUGGGCCUGGAAUAGUGGAUUUAUUCUGCUAGUACUAAUCUUUACCCACGUGGGGGAAGCUAUGAGCCCCCGACUCGAGGCGUUGGGAGUCUGUAAAGACUUGGUUAGUGCGACACCAGCUGGUACAGGGAACGCUCUCUACGGAGCCAACUCUGUGGCGAGCCCGAGUAGCGUCGGGCCGUCGCAACGCACGCUAAGCGGUGGGCCGAAAGGCUUAAGGUACGUGCUAAUCCCACGGGCAACCGUGGCUAUCCUGAAUAGUUCCGAGUUUACGAAGCAGGAUAGGGGUGGUGUAAAGCCGCCUGUUUUAAAUGCCAGACACAACGAGGAUUGACAGAUUGAGAGCUCUUUCUUGAUUUUGUGGGUGGUGGUGCAUGGCCGUUCUUAGUUGGUGGAGUGAUUUGUCUGCUUAAUUGCGAUAACGAACGAGACCUUAACCUGCUAAAUAGCCCGCGUCGCUUUGGCGGCGCGCAGGCUUCUUAGAGGGACUAUCGGCUCAAGCCGAUGGAAGUUUGAGGCAAUAACAGGUUAACCUUUCACAGGCCUGUAACAGUGCACUCGUGCGCUAGUCCAACGCCGUAGUCCGCGGGGAAGUCCCCGUCUGUCGGGCGGACUGACGGGCCUCAGGGCCCGCCUGGCGUGGGCGACACUACCUGGUACAGGGAACGCCGUCAUCGCGGGGCGCUUUGCGUCGCCCCGCGCCGGCCGAUCCUGUGGCGAGCCCCGAGUAAACGCCGGGGCCGUCGCAACGCGCGGAAAGGAGUGGGCCUUCGGGCUUAAGGUACGUGCUAAUCCGCCGGGAUGAUAAACCGGUCCCCCGCAAUGAGGCCCGACAGGCCGAGGUGCGGGGGGGCAGCCCCCCUUGUGGGCUGCCGGUGUGGCGGGGUCGCUUCAGGGCCCCGCCGAUGCUGUGAUGCCCUUAGAUGUUCUGGGCCGCACGCGCGCUACACUGACACAGCCAGCGAGUCCUUCCUUGGCCGAGAGGCCCGGGUAAUCUUGUUAAACUGUGUCGUGCUGGGGAUAGAGCAUUGAAUUAUUGCUCCUUCAACGAGGAAUCCCUAGUAAGCGCAAGUCAUCAGCUUGCGUUGAUUACGUCCCUGCCCUUUUGACACACCGCCCGUCGCUACUACCGAUUGAACGGCUCNNNNNNNNNNNNNNNNNNNNNNNNNNNNNNNNNNNNNNNNNNNNNNNNNNNNNNNNNNNNNNNNNNNNNNNNNNNNNNNNNNNNNNNNNNNNNNNNNNNNAUUAAAAACCAAUGCCCUUCGGGGCUCGCUGGCUGAUUCAUGA